GAAUGCAAACUCGUUGGUGGUGCAGGCGUUGGCGUCGAUGAAGGCGAUGAACUUGGGCGACGCGAGCGGGGUCGUGGAGGUGAAGGGGAAACCGUGAGACGUAGCGAAAGGAUGGCAUCGAGCGAGAGCUUAUGCGAAAAAGGCGGCGUGC
rnacentral:sRNA from 1 species